rnacentral:lncRNA from 1 species
CCAUGUCACUACGUGGAUUUGACGCUGGACGGUUUGUUAUGCCGCAGUCGAAGUGAUGUUAAGUCGGUGUUGGAAGCAGGCCAAUCAUGUGGUGGCCUCCAUCCGACAGUGACCAGGACACCUACAGCAACUUUGGGCGUCUGCGGAAGUCCGAAGCUGUGUGGGCUGUGUGAGGUAGCAUCCCCUUCGACAUUCCAGUUUGUUGCCAUGUACUGUUUUGUGUGAUCGUUGCGGAUAGGGGGCUGUUAUUCCGUACUUCACGCUUCGCCGCCGUCUGGUGUUAAACAAUGUAGAGAACAAUGACGGUUUCUUUUGCGGCAUUGCUGAGGAGGCCUCCCGCCAUGAAGUCUGAACAAAGCCUGAGGAAUUUCCUUUUCUGCAUCAACUUCGUUUAUCGCGGUACUUUUUGAGCACGGUUUCGUUGCUGCUGUGGACGCAGACAUGUACCGGUCGCGGCGAGCUAUCACAUGGGCACAACGUCCAGCGCUGCAGCAUUCUGGUGCGACAUCGAGGAGCCGGAGUCGCGAAGCCCUUCUAACUUCUAUUUUUGUGUCGGUGUCGGUGAGGUUGUAGUCGCGGGUAACCCGAGUUUCGCGGAUAUGUGUCCGGUGUGGACAUAAAAUGCGCCAUUGUGCACGCGUGUAUCAACAGAGUCUAACGGGUUCACUUUAGCAGCGUUUUUACCACUAUCCGCACAUAACCAAUGGUUGCUGGGUGUGUCAAGAACCAUAAGUACACGUUUCGUGUUUUCUUUUCGUCCUUGAAACGAUGCGAUGAGAACGGUGUUGUGUCCGACGUGAGGACGAGGGAGGACGAGUAUGGGUCGCUAGUCCGCCCGCCUGUUUUGUAUUGGCGAAUACAAGUCGAGUGGUAUAGACCUUUUAUUCGAGGCGGCAGUCGGGGAGAACAAGGGCGUUGCACUUAGAGAAGUGACCCUCUAAAUUUUCCUCAGUUCGAUCGUCCGACAAUUCACAGCUAGAGCGAG